rnacentral:rRNA from 1 species
AUGCGGGACCAAAGUGUGCUGGAGCGUAUACUCAACGGAGACGAGGAGCCCAAGGAUCUGCCAUUAGCACUCUUACAGGACAUCACCAAUGAUUUCUGUGAGGAGAACAAAAUCGGCCAGGGUGGAUUUGGAGAGGUCUACAAGGGCGUACUCCAGAACGGGGCUCUUGUUGCUGUGAAGAGGAUCCAUAUAAACGUAAACACAGUUGAUGACAAGCUUUUUCGCCGUGAGUUUAAUAGCCUCUGGAAGGCUAAUAAUCAUCAAAAUGUAGUCCGGUUUCUUGGCUUCUGUUCUAAUAUGUAUCAGACGAGAAUAGCGGAGGCUGGGUCCGAUGAUUUUAAAUUGGUCAACGUCAGAGAAAGAUUGCUCUGUUUCGAGUACAUCAGCAAUGGAAGCCUUGAUAAGCAUAUUACUGAUGAACUAAGGGGACUUCAAUGGGAAAAACGCUAUGACAUAAUCACCGGAAUUUGCAAUGGUCUGCGUCAUCUCGAGGAGAAAGAAAUUAUUCAUAUGGACCUUAAACCGGCUAACAUAUUACUAGAUGAUCAUAUGGUUCCAAAAAUUACCGAUUUUGGUUUGUCAAGACCAAAUGAAAAUUCACAUACUAUGGGUCCACGUUUUGGAACACGAGGAUAUGUCGCUCCGGAAUAUGACAACGCUGGCAAAACUUCUGUCAAGUCUGACAUAUAUAGUUUUGGUGCCAUAAUCAUUGAAUUAGUAACAGGGUUUAUGGGCAUCCCUGAUAAAAACAAUGUACUUCGAAGAUGGAGACACAGGUGGAGUAAGUCACCGACGUUGCUACAAUACCAGCAACUAACUAGAUGCAUGGAAAUAGCAGUACGCUGCAGGCAACAAGAACCGGAAGCUAGACCUUCCAUAAUGGAUAUAAUUAACUAUUUGAGUAAAUCUGAAAGUACGGAUGUGCACACUGGCCAGCAAAGCACUUAUAUGGAUGAUGACAUGCUUGGUAUUGAACCGCUCGAGCUACAUUUUACAUUGGACGAUAACAAGGAGAUGUCAUGCUCAGUUAAUCUAACCAACAGGACAAAGGCCUGUUUUGCCUACAACAUUGAAAGACCAAGCCAGCAGUACACGACACGGCCAGGGAAAGGCAUUAUGCCACCAGGAUGCAACGAGCAUCUUGUUCAGAUAACAGUGCAGGCGCAGCGACAGGAUAGGGCACCACAAGUUACACAGAAUGGUGACAAGUUCAUCAUCCAGAGCACAAAAGUGAGUAAUCUUAGAGAUGAGGAUAUCACUGAACAUAUAUUCCAUGAAGAGGCCGGUAAAAUGGUUGAUGAGGUGAAUUUGAUGGUCAAAUAUGAGCCUGUUAGUCGACAAGACCCCAGUUUGCCAGCCGAGGCAGUCUCCCUCAUGGACAUCAAUUCCAGCAUCUAUAAAGACGGCGUGCAAGGACAAUGUCACAAAGAACUAGAUAGCCGUGAUUUCCACCUACCAGAAGAAUUUUCACAGAGUCAACCUACGAACAUGACUUACCUACUGAGAGUCAGCGACCGAGCCGUGGAUGUCACAAGGGGGGCCAUGGGCAGCCUACUCCACAAGCUGGGCGAGCUCAUCAAGGAGGACUUCAAUCUGGAGGCAAGCGUCAAAAAAGAUGUCCAGUCACUCUCGGAAGAGCUGGUGACGAUGCAGCUCGUACUCCGCAAGGUGUCAGAGGUGCAGCGGGGCAACCUCGAUGACCUGGUCAAGCGUUGGGCCAGCAAUGUCAGGGAGAUGUCAUAUGACCUAGAGGAUUUUGUUGACGGCUUCUUGGUGCAAAGCCAGCCUGAAUCUAGUACAAGUGGCUUCAGGGAACUCACACACGAGAUAUGCUUCCACUUAGAGAAGGGCAAGAGUCACCAUACAAUAGGCAACUUGAUCAAAGACAAAAGCAAACAAGUCCAAGAUGCGGCCAAAAAGUGUAAAGAGUAUAAGGUCGACAAUGUGGUACCUAAUGCAUCUGCCAAAGCUGCCAUUGAUGAGCUUCGGAUUUUGGCUAUGUAUGAAGAUAAAGAACAGCUCGUUGGCAUCAAUAGGCCAAGAGAUGAGCUAAUAAGGCUAUUUGAGGAGGAUGGCGAUGUAUCAAAGGAAAAUCUCAAGAUAGUCUCCAUUGUUGGAUUGGGAGAAUUGGGCAAGACCACACUUGCCAAGGCAGUAUAUGACGAGCUUAAAGCCCAAUACGAUCUUAAAACUUUUGUUUUGGUUGGUCAGAAUCCUGAUGUGAAGAAAGUUUUGGGAAAUAUCCUCCGUAAACUAGUAAGAAAUUUCAAUGUAGAGNNNNNNNNNNNNNNNNNNNNNNNNNNNNNNNNNNNNNNNNNNNNNNNNNNNNNNNNAUACUUCAUAGUAAUUGAUGAUAUAUGGGAUUCUACAGCAUGGGGUCGUAUUGCUUAUGCUUUUCCAAGAAACAGUUGUGGCAGUAGAGUGAUAACAACAACAAGGAUUGAACGUGUUGCUCGUGACUGUUGCAAAGUUGAAUGCAAAAAUGUUUAUAGGAUGAAACCACUCGGUGAAGUAGACUCAAGAACACUAUUUCUUAGAAGAACAUUUGGUUCCGAAAAAGAUUGCCCCGAUACACACAGAAAAGAAGAGAUUUUAGUUGAUAUUCUAAAAAAAUGUGGUGGUAUGCCACUUGCUAUUAAUAGUAUUGCAAGCCUUCUAGCUGGUGAACCAGAGUCAACCUGGGAGUAUGUAUGGAAAUCCUUGGGUGCUCUGACUGAAGGAGAUAAUCUUGAAAACAUGAAGCAAAUAUUGGAUCUUAGCUACAUACAUCUUCCUGAUCAUCUGAAGGCAUGUCUACUUUAUAUUUGUAUGUAUCCAGAGGAUCGCGAGAUAGACAAAACUGAAUUGUUGAGGAAAUGGGUAGCCGAAGGUUUCGUGCACGUGAGUACAAAUGGUCUUCUGGACGCAGUGGAUGUUGCAGAAAAGUACUUCAAAGAGCUCAUCAACAUGUGUAUGAUCCAGCCUUGGAGGAUAAGCUACAACAAUGAAGUGUUGUCUUGCAGAGUACAUGAUAUAAUUCUUGAUAUGAUGAGAUCCAAGUCAAGUAAAGAGAAUUUUAUUCAUGUGAUUGAUGGUUCUAAGGUUGAGAUGGGGGAGAUCCGCCGAGUCUCAGUCCACUACAAUGAUAAAAAGGAUACAACAAUUUUGGAAACAAUCAACAAAGGGUCACUAUCACAUGUUCGGUCAGUCUUACUUUGCCGGAGCUCACUUUUGCCUUAUUUUCUGGAUUUCAAGUAUGUCAGAGUGCUACACCUUGAACAUAAGUAUUCUUUGAACAACUACCUGGACCUCACAGGUAUCAGUGGGCUGUUCCUUCUAAGGUAUUUAAAGGUUAGUUGUGAUAUUUUUUCUAGAUGUGAGUUGAAGCUACCUAAUAAAAUUGAGGAGCUACAGCAAUUGGAGACAAUAGAUAUACGUGUAGGUAAACUGAGAGAAUAUCCAUCAGAUAUUGUCAGUUUGCCCCAGUUGUCGCAUCUCAGUUCGAUGGGAACAAUGCUGCCUGACGGGAUCGACAGGUUGAAGUCCUUGUGCACCCUACAAGGUGUAGAUAUGUUUAAAAGCUCGGUAGAGAAUAUCAAGGGGCUCAGCAAGCUGACCAACUUGAGGGAACUUGGGAUCUCUUGGAAUGGGAGUAGUGAAUCGGUGGAAGAGAGCACCAUGGAUGCCCUGGACUCUUCUAUCCGCAAGCUUUCUGCCAACCUCAGGAUCUUCACUUUCAAAGGAGGAUUUGCUUACAAACCAGAUGUCCCAGGAUGGAUUACCAGACCACCAUUCCAUCGGGACUCUCAUCUUCGGGAGCUCAAUCUGGGGGGCUGCAGGUUUCAAAGGUGCCCCGAGUGGAUUGGUGAGCUCCACGGCCUCUACAAGUUGGGCAUUGUGGUGAGGGAGGUGGCUGAUGGUGUCAGUAUUGUUGCACGGCUGCCUUCACUUGCCCACUUCUAUUUGAUUGUUUCUGGUAUGGGUGAAGAAGAAAAGGAAGAAAGUGUAGUCAUCCCUGGCACUGGCAGCGGGGCAUUCCGAGCACUCAAGCAGAUGCUCUUCAACUGUCCAAAGGUGUCACUGAACUUUGAAGCUGGGGCUAUGCCCAAGCUAGAGAAGCUUUCCUUGCGGUUCCGUCACAACAUGGCUCCUCAGUUCCUACCGGUUGGCAUCCAGCACUUGCCCGCUGGCACCCUUAAACAAAUCUGGUUACAUGUGUACAGCAAUCAAACACAAAACAAAACAUCUGUGAGGCACCUGUUGGAGGGAGCAUUUAAGCAGCAUCAUCCAAGUGCCGACAUCACCGUUGACUUCAUUUAA